UACGGAAGGCAGCAGUGGGGAAUAUUGCACAAUGGGCGAAAGCCUGAUGCAGCUAUGCCGCGUGUAUGAAGAAGGCCUUAGGGUUGUAAAGUACUUUCAUCGGGGAGGAAAAAACAAAACUAAUAAUUUUAUUUCUUGACGUUACCCGAAAAAGAAGCACCGGCUAACUCCGUGCCAGCAGCCGCGGUAAUACGGAGGGUGCUAGCGUUAAUCAGAAUUACUGGGCGUAAAGAGCACGUAGGUGGUUUUUUUAAGUCAGAUGUGAAAUCCCUGGGCUUAACCUAGGAACUGCAUUUUGAAACUGAAAUACUAGAAGUAUCGUAGAGGGAGGUAGAAUUCUAGGUGUAGCGGUGAAAUGCGUAGAUAUCUGGAGGAAUACCUGUGGCGAAAGCGGCCUCCUAAACGAAAUACUGACACUGAGGUGCGAAAGCGUGGGGA
rnacentral:rRNA from 1 species